rnacentral:misc_RNA from 1 species
GAUGAAGAACGUAGCGAAAUGCGAUAAGUAGUGUGAAUUGCAGAAUUCAGUGAAUCAUCGAAUCUUUGAACGCACAUUGCGCCCCUUGGUAUUCCAUGGGGCAUGCCUGUUCGAGCGUCAUUUGUACCCUCCAGCCCUGCUGGGUAUUGGGCGUUUUGUUCCGCUACGCGCGUGAACUCGCCUCAAAUGCAUUGGCAGCCCGCCGUCCCGUGUGGGAGCGCAGCACAUUUUGCGCUCUCCGCUGCUGACGGUGGCAUCCACAAGUCUACCAUUUUACGCUUGACCUCGGAUCAGGUAGGGAUACCCGCUGAACUUAAGCAUAUCAAAAGCGGAGGA